rnacentral:rRNA from 1 species
CCUACGGGAGGCAGCAGUGAGGAAUAUUGGUCAAUGGGCGUAAGCCUGAACCAGCCAAGUCGCGUGAGGGAUGAAGGUUCUAUGGAUCGUAAACCUCUUUUAUAAGGGAAUAAAGUGCGGGACGUGUCCCGUUUUGUAUGUACCUUAUGAAUAAGGAUCGGCUAACUCCGUGCCAGCAGCCGCGGUAAUACGGAGGAUCCGAGCGUUAUCCGGAUUGAGUGGGUUUAAAGGGUGCGUAGGCGGCCUUUUAAGUCAGAGGUGAAAGCCAGUGGCUCAACCAGAGAAUUGCCGUUGAAACUGGGAGGCUUGAUUAUGUGUGAGGCAGACGGAAUGCGUGGUGUAGCGGUGAAAUGCUUAGAUAUCACGCAGAACCCCGAUGGCGAAGGCAGCCUGCCAAGCCAUGACUGACGCUGAUGCACGAAAGCGUGGGGAUCAAACAGGAUUAGAUACCCCUGUAGUC